rnacentral:rRNA from 1 species
GAUGAACGCUGGCGGCGUGCCUAAUACAUGCAAGUCGAGCGAACAGACGAGGAGCUUGCUCCUCUGACGUUAGCGGCGGACGGGUGAGUAACACGUGGAUAACCUACCUAUAAGACUGGGAUAACUUCGGGAAACCGGAGCUAAUACCGGAUAAUAUAUUGAACCGCAUGGUUCAAUAGUGAAAGACGGGUUUGCUGUCACUUAUAGAUGGAUCCGCGCCGCAUUAGCUAGUUGGUAAGGUAACGGCUUACCAAGGCAACGAUGCGUAGCCGACCUGAGAGGGUGAUCGGCCACACUGGAACUGAGACACGGUCCAGACUCCUACGGGAGGCAGCAGUAGGGAAUCUUCCGCAAUGGGCGAAAGCCUGACGGAGCAACGCCGCGUGAGUGAUGAAGGUCUUCGGAUCGUAAAACUCUGUUAUUAGGGAAGAACAAAUGUGUAAGUAACUAUGCACGUCUUGACGGUACCUAAUCAGAGAGCCACGGCUAACUACGUG